UGGGGAAUAUUGCACAAUGGGCGCAAGCCUGAUGCAGCGACGCCGCGUGAGGGAUGACGGCCUUCGGGUUGUGAAACCUCUUUCAGCAGGGACGAAGCGCAAGUGACGGUACCUGCAGAAGAAGCGCCGGCCAACUACGUGCCAGCAGCCGCGGUAAUACGUAGGGUGCAAGCGUUGUCCGGAAUUAUUGGGCGUAAAGAGCUCGUAGGCGGUCUGUUGCGUCGGCUGUGAAAACCCGAGGCUCAACCUCGGGCCUGCAGCCGAUACGGGCAGACUAGAGUUCGGCAGGGGGAGACUGGAAUUCCUGGUGUAGCGGUGAAAUGCGCAGAUAUCAGGAGGAACACCGGUGGCGAAGGCGGGUCUCUGGGCCGAUACUGACGCUGA
rnacentral:rRNA from 1 species